rnacentral:rRNA from 1 species
AUUGAACGCUGGCGGAAUGCUUUACACAUGCAAGUCGAACGGCAGCACGGGGCAACCUGGUGGCGAGCGGCGAACGGGUGAGUAAUACAUCGGAACGUACCCUGUCGUGGGGGAUAACGAAUCGAAAGAUUCGCUAAUACCGCAUACGACCUUGGACCGGGAGGUUUUAGGUGAAAGCGGGGGAUCUUCGGACCUCGCGCGAAAAGAUGAGCCUAUGUCGGAUUAGCUAGUUGGUGGGGUAAAGGCCUACCAAGGCGACGAUCCGUAGCUGGUCUGAGAGGAUGAUCAGCCACACUGGGACUGAGACACGGCCCAGACUCCUACGGGGGGCAGCAGUUGGGAAUCUUGCGCAAUGGGCGAAAGCCUGACGCAGCGACGCCGCGUGUGGGAUGACGAUUUUCGGAUUGUAAACUUCUUUUCGGGGAGACGAGAAAGGACGGUAUCCCCGGAAUAAGCCACGGCAAACUACGUG